rnacentral:rRNA from 1 species
AGAACGAACGCUGGCGGCAUGCCUAAUACAUGCAAGUCGAACGAAGGCUUCGGCCUUAGUGGCGCACGGGUGCGUAACGCGUGGGAAUCUGCCCCUUGGUUCGGAAUAACAGUUGGAAACGACUGCUAAUACCGGAUGAUGACGAAAGUCCAAAGAUUUAUCGCCAAGGGAUGAGCCCGCGUAGGAUUAGCUAGUUGGUGAGGUAAAGGCUCACCAAGGCGACGAUCCUUAGCUGGUCUGAGAGGAUGAUCAGCCC